rnacentral:rRNA from 1 species
GACGAACGCUGGCGGCGUGCUUAACACAUGCAAGUCGAGCGGUAAGGCCCUUUCGGGGGUACACGAGCGGCGAACGGGUGAGUAACACGUGGGUGACCUGCCCUCAGCUCUGGGAUAAGCCCGGGAAACUGGGUCUAAUACCGGAUAUGACUUCAUGACGCAUGUUGUGGAGUGGAAAGCCUUGUGCGGCUGAGGAUGGGCCCGCGGCCUAUCAGCCUGUUGGUGGGGUGANGGCCUACCAAGGCGACGACGGGUAGCCGGCCUGAGAGGGCGACCGGCCACACUGGGACUGAGACACGGCCCAGACUCCUACGGGAGGCAGCAGUGGGGAAUCUUGCGCAAUGGGCGAAAGCCUGACGCAGCGACGCCGCGUGAGGGA